UUUGUUCAGUCGAUCUCUGCAGCCGUUUCAGUCAGAUCAGGACCACUGAUCGGUAACAUGCUUCUCACGGUUAUUUUUCUGUCCCUGUUGGUAACAUCCGGUUUCUCCGUUACGGUGCUCCAGUCUGCAGAUCAAAUCCUUUCCUCGGAUGCUGAUGCGACGUUGGAGUGCAGUGUGGGCGCCGGGUACUCCAUGAGCAGCUACACCAUGCUCUGGUACCGACAGAACCGCCACGGGGCUGAAAUACAGCUUCUUCUCACAGAAUAUGAAACAACGGCUGGACGCUACCGUUCGUCACUCGAUGCUGCGAAAAACAAUUUUUCUCUCAGUAUUCCAGAGCUGACAGUGAACGACAGCAGCAUCUACUACUGCGCUGCCAGGCACAUCGGUGAGUACGAUCCUGCUUACUUUGGAGCUGGAACUAAACUCACCGUUUUAGAAGAUGGAGUGGAUGUCACUGCACCAACAGUGAAAAUCCUUCGACCUUCACCCCUUGAGUGCAGAGACCAGAAGAAGAAAGAGGGCAAAAGGAGGAAGACCCUGGUGUGUGUGGCGUCUGGUUUCUACCCGGAUCAUGUCACCGUGUUCUGGCAGCUCAACGGCCAGAACAUCACUGAUGGUGUGGCGACCGACGCCGCCGCCAAGAGGAAUGAAAUCACAGGACUGUACUCCAUCACCAGCAGGCUGAGGCUGCAGGCCAAGACCUGGUUCAAUCCUGACAAUGAAUUCAGUUGUUACGUCACAUUCUUUAAUGGAACCUACACAAACUAUUCAACGUCUAUUUAUACAAAUGAAACGGAUACAGGAAUGACAAGAGAGAGAUAUUUAAGGAUCAGCCAAAACGCCAAACUCUCCUACAGCGCCAUGAUCCUGAAGAGCUGCCUCUACGCCGUCUUGGUCUGCUUUCUGGUCUGGAAGCUUCAGCGUUCACCAAAAAAACGGCAGGAGUGAGAGCCGAGAGAGCCGAACCUUCAGCAGAAACCUUUUUUUUUUUUUCAUUAUUUUUAGCUUCUGUAAAUUAAAUGUGUGAAAAUGGCAGGUGGAGACGUGUUUCUGACCUGAACAUCCUGAUUGUUAAAAACAUGCAGGUUUUCUUGUUGAAACCUAAAAGCUCUCUGUGUUUUUGUUCAGCUUUUUCUAUGUAAUCUUUUCAUGUAUUUUCUCAAUAAAGACACGCAAGCAAA